rnacentral:rRNA from 1 species
CCUACGGGAGGCAGCAGUGAGGAAUAUUGGGCAAUGGGCGGAAGCCUGAACCAGCCACGCCGCGUGAGGGAAGAAGGUACAGCGUAUCGUAAACCUCUUUUGUCAGGGAACAAAGGCGGGGACUAGUCCCCGGAUGAGUGUACCUGAAGAACAAGCAUCGGCUAACUCCGUUCCAGCCGCCGCGGUAAUAGGGGGGAUGCGAGCGUUAUCCGGAUUUAUGGGGGUUAGAGGGUGCGCAGGCGGCCGGUUAAGUCAGCGGUAAAAGCCCGGGGCUAAGCCCGGGCGAGCCGUUGAAACUGGCGAGCUGGAGUGGGAGAGAAGUACGCGGAAUGCGAGGUGUAGGGGUGAAAUGCGUAGAUAUCGCGCAGAACCCCGAUUGCGAAGGCAGCGUACCGGCUCCACACUGACGCUGAGGAACGAAAGCGUGGGUAUCGAACAGGAUUAGAUACCCGAGUAGUC